rnacentral:piRNA from 1 species
UGGCUUCGAUCCGAUUCGAGUUGGUGGCAUU